UUCGGGUCUCUUUUCCAAAUCCCUUCCCUGUGUUGUGACAUUAAUGGUUCUCUCCUCCUGGUUUUUAUGAAUCCCCAAUUCCUUCCCGCGAGCUGCUUUUGCUUCGCCUUGGUCUUCGUGCCUUUUUAAUUGCGCUGGAUUAAUUCGUUUCCCCGCGGGUGUGCGCCGAUAACAGCGUGGACUCUCAGUCGCGCGUCACCUGCCCCAUUCAUGCUUUCCAUCUCUGCCUGGAAGUCAUUCACACACAGGGAGAGACAUGUAUAGGCCUACACACGCGCAUAACCAGUGAGAGAGAAGGAGAGAGAGUCUAUGCAGUGAGGUGAAUCGUGUGCGCGCCUCUCCAAUUGGAUAUAGUCCCCCUGAUUUGGCGGGCUCUUUCUAUCAGCUGGCUCACAAAACUCCAUGUACUCACCCCCUUCUCUCCAACCACCACCUUUCCACUCCCAAACCCUUUACCCCUCCCGACACCACCACUCAACCAACCCACCUUUCUUUUGAGCUCCUUGAAUCCUGAAUGGCAACACCAAACGUUUUAAUCUCCGACAGAACAGGGAGACGACGCACAUCGGACUGACCUGUUUUCGCCACCCUGACGCAGAAGCAGAGAUUGUGUGCUGCCCUGCUGCUUACUCUCUCUGUUUCCUCUUCUGUCUGAGCCUGCACACAACCCUUCUUUUAAAAAAAGAGUUUAAAAAGAGAAAAAAUCUAAAUCUAAAAGAGCAAGGAUGUGCCUGCAUCACGAGGAGUCGUACUGACAGAGAGGCGGCGGUGGAGGAGAGGAGGAAGUGAAGUCAAGGAGCUGUUGCUGCAGCAGCAGAGACCAGGCGCACCGCAUGGGGAAACCCGGGAGCUGUCCAGCAGCAAUGGAGAGAACAAUGACAACGAAAACAAGAGCAUAUGAGGUGACGUGUGCCAGGGUGGACUCUAUCGCUGUCGUGGAAGCCUCCAGCUGUGCGCCUGAGAAAAAAAGGGGACCCACGUUUUGGAUGUUUUCACCGAGGUGCGCAUAGAGACAGACAGAGACACCGAUCGUCCGACCGACCUUCCUCCUCCUUGUCCUCCCCAUCUGCCUCACUUCGAGAAAGGGGCCCGAGGUGAGGAUUGACAGAGGGGAAAUCCUGACUGACUGAAACCCGGCUGAUGAGUUUUCCUCCUCCUCCUCCUUUACUUCAUCCUACUUCAGCUUCUCCCAUUCUGUUUCUCCACCUUGAGCACCUUCUUUUUCUUCUUCACCCCCUUCUUCUCCAUCUCUCCAACCCGUGCAUCUUCAUGCUGCAGGAUUAAGGGUCGUAGCAGAUGCAGAGUCAGUUUUCCAAAAAAGGGAACUGUGAGCAGCCUGUCUUGUGGGCCGGAGGGAUUGAAAAAUGCAGGACACCCACAGUUUGUGUCCCACCCAAAAAAGGGGUCGUAAUGUUUUUUCUAUUAAUUACAGUCCCAAAACCAUGCUUGUGUUAAAUACUUGCUUACUCACUGUUUGACAGCAGUAUAGUAUUUAACUUUUCAUACAUAUUUGUUCUUAGUGUUGACCAGGUCAUUUGUUGCACCCAGUUGUGUGUUAGUGUGCAUGCAUGCAAGUGUGUGUGUUCCUGAAUCUGUAAUUUUUUUGUAUUCUUAGGACUCAAAUCAUGAUGGUGAGAAGAAAGAAAAUGAAACUAACGCAGCAGAUGAAGCAGGAGAAGCAGGAACAACGAAGAUUGUUGUCCCCCGGCAGGGACGCAGGAGGCAGCAGGACGGUUAGCGAGAGAGCUUGGAUCAACUGACACCUUUUUUUCCACUUGCACCAACCGAAACUCUGAGAGUCAAGCCGGUUUGAAUGGAACACACCCAGUCAUCCUGAGGGAGUUGUCAAAUCCCUGUAUGGGAAGAUGCAGCUGCGAAAAUGUUGCUGUGGUCCUGGGAUUAAACAGGACUAGCAGUUUGUCUUCGGGGACAUGACAGAGACGUAAAGGUGGACUCUCAAAACGUCUGACAGGAGUGUGUGUGUGUGUGUGUGUGUGUGUGUGUUUGUGUGUGUGACGUGUGUAAUUUGAUCAUAUUUAAUGUUAUCAGUUUAAAUACACACUUUGAGGCUACAAAAACCUCCUAAAAAACCAAUGUGAUUUUGAUGGAUGUGCUACACUACACAUAAAUGAUGUGUGUGUGCUGUUUAUAAUAUGAAAAUUGUUGGAAAAUAUUUGUGUGCACAUAUUUGAGGCUGUAAGUUGAUACAUGUAUUUUUGUGCAGAUGAAUAUCGACUUUGAAAUGAUGCCAGAAUAUAAAAUCGGUGCUGUACAAGUUAUUUUUGUGAAGAUUAUUUUGUGAGAGAUGGCGUUUUGUUAAUAUAUUUUACUUUGCACAUUAUAAUUAUGGCUGAAAGACUGUUGGUCAGAAAUAUAUUUAAUUUUACCCCGUUUGAAACCUUCCUCUCGGUGUCACGUUGACUUCGAGCCCUCCACUUGUGUCAAAGAGUGCGAGCAGCUGCAUGUUGGCUGUCAGCAUGCAGAUACAUUUUUAUACUCUUUUUCUUCUGCUUAGUACAUGGCAUGGUUUGCUUUGUGCCACAGAUCCUCGGUUUGUGAGAAUUUCAUGUUUAGUUUGGGUGUGUGUGUGAGAGAGAGACAGGGAGCAUGGCGGCAAAGGGGUGGGGGUGGGGGGUGUUGGAGACUAAAAAAUGCUGUUGCAAAUAGCCUUUCUGGGUCGGAAUGGGCAAAUGAGAGCACAUACUGCUGAGGAGAACAUCGUGACAGCCGGUUGUGCAGAAACAUCCAGCGCCUGUAAGCAUGACUGGCUUUUUCGUGUGGACCGAAAUGUAAAAAAAUCAAAAUAAAGCGAUGGAAAUCCAAA